rnacentral:misc_RNA from 1 species
UGAACGAAUCAGAAAAAUAUACGUCGGUGAACACUGUCCUAUCACACAAAAGUGUGUAGUGUGUAAAUGUAGGAAAGCCAGAGGGAAAGAAAAAAAAAAACGAAAAGUAGUGGACGGGAACGCGAACUUUAGUGAAAGAAAAAAAAAAUAUGUGUAGCCAAACUUGAGCCCGAUUCGAUGAUUUCAAAGCGACAGGAAAAAUUUCAAGCGCGAUCUUAAUAUUGUGAUUGUGAAUAUCGUGUUUCGGUAGCGUCGCGCGACUUUCCCGAUAAGUUUCUUUCCAAUUUUUUUCUUGUAUUGCCAUCGAAAUCGACAACAUGAUCCAGCUGAAAAUUAAAAACUAUUAACAGACCCCGGAAACAUCCUAAAAUGUUUGAAAAACUGAAAAUAUUCAUUCGCUACAAUCAAGCAGCCAUUGAGAAACUCAAGUGACAGUGUUACAUUAUUCGAAUCGGUCGCGACUAAAGGGUGACGCGAAAAUCAAAAAAAAAGUUGUGAAAUUGAACUGGCGACCCUUCGGGGUGCAAAACAGACCUACAGAGGCUAAUAGUGCGAUCUACGAUCUUCAGUAUCAAAAGAAAAGGUGGUGGUGGGUAGCAUUGUGUAUUUUGAGUGUCUACUGUUGCCGUGUAAGCCACAGCAUCAGUGGGAGAAGGACGCGUAACUGACUUGCGGCCUGCAAAACAAGAUGGUUUCGAAAAUUGAGAAGCAAACAUUCGGUGAUGUACUAAAUACAGGAUCUACGCAAAUAGGAUCAGUGAGCGGUGGUAGCUUCGCCGGUAGCGAUCAGAAUUCCAUAGUUCAGCCUCAAACAGCAGCUGCUACGUCCCCGAAUAAAAUUCCGCUCGGUGGAGGAUCUGUCGUGGAUUCGCCUUCACGAAAUCGUGGGACAUCCUCUCCCCCGCCGCCUGUACUCACUCCAGAAGUGACCAAUAAUCACGAAGAUACAAAACGGGCAUCUCCAGAUCAUUGUUCUGUUGCUCUCGGGACUGCAGUGACAAUGCCAGGUUUUGGGCGGCGAGCUAGUGCUACGACCGCUUCAAAUCCCACAGGAACCGGAACCGGUAGUGCUGCAACAGUUCCGCUAUCUGGAAUGCAGGGAUCAAAUGAUAAUUUAACUACACAAUUGUCUGGGCAAGCACAUCAGCAACAACAAUCGAUUCCUUCGCUGCAGCCGCCACCGCAUUUGCCGCCUCAAAAGCCUGCAACGCAUAGUUCGCCGACUGCAUUUUCCAGUACGAAGAAUGAAGAGUUUGUGUUUAUAAGGCCUCCAGAAUGUUUAAUUUUCAAGCCAAAUGAAGAAGAGUUCAAAAAUCCACUCGCGUAUAUUAGCAAAAUACGUUCCGUGGCCGAGAAGUAUGGGAUUUGCAAGAUUCAACCACCAAAGUCCUGGACACCACCAUUCACAGUCGAUGUAGACAAACUACGCUUUACACCACGCGUGCAACGUCUAAACGAGCUAGAAGCAAAGACACGCGUCAAAUUAAAUUUUCUCGAUCAAAUUGCAAAAUUUUGGGAACUUCAAGGAUCAUCACUAAAAAUUCCCAUGGUCGAAAGAAAAGCCCUUGAUCUUUACACUCUUCAUCGUGUCGUUCAAGAAGAGGGCGGCAUGGAACAAACAACACGAGAAAGAAAAUGGUCAAAAGUUGCCCAACGAAUGGGCUAUCCUGCCGGGAAAGGUGUGGGAACCAUCCUGAAAGGACACUAUGAACGGAUUCUGCAUCCUUUCGAUAUAUUUACGAUGGGCAAAGCAUUAGCUGCUGUAGCUGGUACAAAUACAGAAGAUGGCACAACCAAGGCCAAACUAGAACCCGAGAGUGGUGAUCAAGACUAUAAACCGCACGGAAUUGUAUCGAGACAACAAAUAACUCCACCUAAAGAAAAUACAGCUCGGAGAUCGAAACGGUUUGCCAAUAGUUCUUCUGCUACAUGCGGGGUUUCCAACUACAACCUGAAUCAUUCUGGUAUCGGAACCCAUGGUCCAUUUAAUACUCCCAUCAAGGAUGAGAUCAAACGAGAAAAUGAUGAUGGAGGAACGCCACUUCGCUAUGGAAAGGGGCGAUCGCGAAAUUGCAGUACAAGCUCCAAUAUCAGUGCCGGCAGAGGUGGUAAGAAACAGAAAGACGUGGAUCCAUUGGCUAAAUAUAUUUGUCAUAUUUGCAAUCGAGGUGAUAUUGAGGAGGCCAUGCUACUCUGCGACGGAUGCGACGAUAGCUAUCACACUUUCUGCUUAAUACCACCUUUAAGCGAUAUUCCAAAAGGUGAUUGGCGAUGUCCUAAGUGUGUUGUGGAGGAAGUAAGCAAGCCAGUUGAGGCCUUUGGGUUUGAACAAGCCCAACGUGAGUACACCCUGCAGCAAUUCGGAGAGAUGGCGGAUCAAUUCAAGGCAGACUACUUCAACAUGUCUGUACACUUGGUCCCUACCGAGCUGGUUGAACGCGAAUUCUGGAGAAUAGUAUCGUCUAUAGAUGAAGACGUGACUGUCGAAUAUGGAGCGGAUUUACACACAAUGGAUCACGGAUCAGGGUUUCCUACAAAAAGCUCUUUAUACUUGCUACCCGGCGAUCAAGAAUACGCCGAAUCCAGCUGGAACUUAAACAAUCUUCCACUUUUGGAAGAAUCUAUACUCGGUCAUAUAAAUGCCGAUAUAAGUGGCAUGAAGGUUCCAUGGAUGUAUGUCGGAAUGUGUUUCGCGACUUUCUGCUGGCAUAACGAGGAUCACUGGAGCUAUUCCAUCAAUUACUUGCAUUGGGGCGAGCCGAAGACAUGGUAUGGCGUCCCUGGUUAUAAAGCUGAAGCCUUUGAAGCCACUAUGAAAAGUGCUGCACCGGAAUUAUUUCAAUCGCAGCCGGAUUUACUUCAUCAGCUUGUGACAAUCAUGAAUCCAAAUAUUCUGAUGAAUGCAGGAGUUCCAGUUUAUAGGACCGAUCAGCAUGCCGGUGAAUUUGUUGUGACAUUCCCCAGAGCGUACCAUGCUGGUUUCAAUCAGGGCUAUAAUUUCGCGGAAGCGGUCAAUUUUGCACCGGCUGAUUGGAUGAAAAUGGGACGUGAGUGUAUCAAUCAUUAUUCAACACUACGUCGAUUCUGUGUCUUCUCACACGAUGAACUUGUCUGCAAGAUGGCUCUUGAGCCAGAUAAAUUAAAUUUAGGUAUCGCUACAGCUUGCUACUUAGACAUGGCAGAAAUGGUUGAUUCGGAAAAGAAGCUUAGAAAGUCACUACUAGAAUGGGGGGUAACAAAAGCCGAACGGGCGGCCUUCGAAUUAAUCCCGGACGACGAGAGACAAUGUGAAUCCUGCAAGACAACUGUAUUUCUAUCUGCAGUCACUUGUUCUUGCACUAACUUACUAGUUUGCCUUCGUCACUAUACUGAGCUCUGUUCAUGCCCUCCCGAGAAGCACACCCUUAAAUACCGAUAUACUCUCGACGAGCUACCUUUAAUGCUGAAGAAACUCAAAGUUAAGGCGGAAAGCUUUGAAAAUUGGCUGUCUAAAGUUCGGGACGUCUUAGAUCCGAAUACGGCAACAACAAUCACCCUAGAAGAGUUGCAAGAACUCGCUCAAGAAGCCGAGGAUAAAAAAUUCCCCAGCUCCAUAUUAUUAGAACGUUUAAACGCAGCCGUUUUAGAAGCAGAGAAGUGUGUUACUGUUAUUCAACAGCUUGACAUCAAUAAAAUGCGUACACGUACAAGGAAUGCAAGUGAUGCAGCCAAAUACAAAUUAACACUCGACGAAUUGGAGAUGUUUGUACAAGAAAUUGAUAAUCUAUGCUGUAUUAUACAGGAGGGUCAGAGCGUAAGGGAGCUGCAAGCCUUAGGGAAAGAAUUCCUUGAGUCUGCUAAACAAUUGCUGAAUGAGCCUAUAAGCAAAGCUGAUGAACAAGCCAUAGAGAAGUUGAUAGAGGAGGGGUCUACCCUUUGUAUUGAACUUCCUGAGAUUAAGGCAUUGAAGGAUCGCCUUCAGCAAGUGAACUGGUAUAAUCGCGUAAGGGAAUUCCGUGACGCACAAGAGAAGAUUCCAGUAGCGGAUAUUCACAAUUUCUUGAAGGAAGGAAUAAACAUAACACCUGACUCUAUAAUCGAAAAAGAACUCUAUGAACUGCAGGAGAUUUUGAUGAGUGUUGAGGAUUUGGAAGUUGUGGCUAAACGGUGUCUUGAAAGUGAGACAUCUCGUGAUCUUUCUGAGAUUGAAUUACUCUUAGAACGUGCGGAGGAUUUAGAAGGUGAACUGCCAUCUCGCCAGGCUCUGAAAGACGCAGUUAAAAAAGCGAAGGAGUGGCUUCAAAUCGUCGAGGUAUUGCAAUCAAAUGAAAGCUACCCAUAUUUUCAUACUUUGGAGAAUUUGGUGAAUCGGGGGAAGAAUAUUCCCUUCCAAUUGGAAGAAUUGAAACGUAUGGAAGAGCAUUUGUCCAGCGCACGGUCAUGGAAAGAACGAACGGCAAGAACAUUCCUCAAAGAGUGUACGAAUUUCACGUUGCUUGAUGUACUCUCGCCACGAGCUGAAGCUGUAAUGUACGGGUCCAAGGUGAAGAAAAGAUCUAUGGAGGAGCAAUUCACAGAGGAAAUGAGUUUAGGGCAGAUGGUGAAUGCAUUCAAAAAUGCUGAAGAGAAGGAGAUAGCUGACAUGAAGGCUCUACGAAAGCAGAAUAUGGAAAAAAAUCCAAUCGAGGAUAAAUAUUGCAACUGCAAACGAAAGUUCCAUGGUCUUAUGUAUCAAUGCCAGUUGUGUAAAGAUUGGUUCCAUGAAAGGUGUGUACCACCACCUAAAAACACCGUUCGUCCGCGGCCGAGCAACACUUCAAGUCCAUCAAAUGCGCUCAACGUCCCGCAGUUGACAGCACGCGAACGAGAUCGGGAACCGAAAUUCUUAUGCCCAUCAUGUAUGCGAUCACGUCGUCCACGUCUCGAGACUAUUCUCUCGCUUCUUGUAUCCCUUCAACGAUUACCGAUUCGACUGCCUGAAGGCGAAGCAUUACAGUGUCUUACUGAACGUGCCAUGAAUUGGCAAGAUCGCGUACGCCAGGCUUUCGCAACUGAAGAUGUUGUGUCUGCCUUAGCUUUGCUUUCAAACAUUUCACAAAAGAAUAGUAAUUCAUCGACAAAUGCAAGUGGUGGUGGUGGUAGCUCAGGUGGGCUAGACAAAGACUUUAGAAGUGAUAGAAAUAAACGAAGAUCUCAACAGACAGCGACUAGAUUACGUACUCCAACUAAUGCAACAGGAACAGAUGAUGAAGUUGAUACUAGUUCCGAGGAUGAGACACAUAUGACGAAUAAAAGUGGGUUAGCAGCAUCACCUAUGGGGGUUCCUCUAGGAGGUGGCAAUAGUUCACCCUCUUCUCCAAGUAUUACAUCCUUUAGCAAAAUCGAACAUGCCUAUUCGGUUCCUGUGCCGCCCAAUAUUUCAAAUUCUCCCGGAGGUGGAAAUAAUUCAAGUUUUGGUAAAGCAACACAGGGUGAUCUACGUUCGCCGUUGUCUAAGAGCGAAAUGGCUUUAAUUACAUUAUCAAAACCAACUAAAGAGAUUCUGGAGUUACUCAUGAUGGAGGGCGAUCUUAUGGAAGUGUCAUUAGAUGAAACUUUACAUAUUUGGCGAAUUCUCAAUGCAGCUAAGCCAUCCAUAUCGGAUCUAGCGUAUAUACAUAAUAAAUAUAAAAUAACGCCUACACCAAGCAGCGAUAUUCUAGUCACAAGCAAUAAAAAGAAACGUCGCUCUGAUGAGAGCUUAACACCACAAAUGGCCAAGCGUUCCACGAAAGGUCAAUCGUCAGCUAACUCCAAUGUGUCUCAGUCGGCGUCCGGUUCGGCAAAUGUAUCUGGAUCGACAGUUUCCAGUGCAAAUAACAACGGAACGGCUAGCGGUGCGUCUCAAGCAAACAGCUCAGGGACGGGUACAAAAUUGAAACGUGGUCGAAAAAUGAAACUUGUGCAGAAGGAAGUGGAGUCUCCUGCUAAUAUAGGAAAUAGCGGUACUGGACCAUCGGAACCGAAAAAGCGUAAACGUGGCAAGAAAGCCGCUCGUCAAGAGCAAGUAACAAUGAUUGCUGCAUCUACUUCGGAUGAUGAUGAAGAAUGUAGCGCUACCAAUUGCGCGCGCCCGACCGGGCGCGAGGUAGACUGGGUUCAAUGCGACGGUGGUUGCAACAAAUGGUUUCACAUGUAUUGUGUUGGAUUAGAUAAAGAUCAAAUCAAGCCGGAUGAUGAUUUUAUUUGUAAGAGGUGUAAGAAGAAUCAUGCUGGAUCGUCAACGAGUGACACAAAUGCAGCAGCAGCAUCGACAUCGGUCCAGCCGGCGUUGCGUGAGCAACAACAACAUAAUACUACAAAAGAUACCGAGAGUGCUGUACCGUCAUCGGUUGGUAAUAGUAUUGGUAGCAGCGCGGGCGGGAAUGGAAGUGCUGGCGGGGGCGGUGGUGGCGGCGUCGGUAAGGGUGGUCGGCAACAAAGAUCCUCCACCAGUGUUUCAAACCCCUCCCCUUCGAAUUCAAUUAAAAAUAAUUGUAGCGGUAGUAUUAGCAGUACAAUUAAUAGUAGUAGUAGUCUUAGUAGUAAUAAAAUCGAAAAUGAUUGUGAUCAACAACAUACAUCAACAUACAAAACAGGAGAAGAAGAAGAUGAUAAGAAGAGGACGACGACGUCAACAUCGGGGACGGCGGCAACAACAGUAACAACGCCAUCAGCAUCGACGACAUCAGCUACACCCGAUGAAGAGGACACAGAUCAAGAAAGCACAAUAACAAUAGUUUCAUCAACAUUUCAAUUGUCAUCCACAUUAUUAUCAACUAAUGCCGCUACUAGUACUACUCCUCCAGUCGGUGGAAAUUUAACAACCUUAACAGAUCUAUCUUCUUGCCCAUUGGUGGGUGAGCCAACAUCUUCCACAAUGUCGUCCUGCUUUGCUACAACAAGAUCAACACCAAGUAUCGUCCCAACUAACAGUAGUAGUACCGCCGCCACCGCAACAACAACAAUAACAACAUCAACAACAAUAGCAACAACCACAAAUUCUAUGAAUGAUACAAGCUAAAGAGAGAAAAGUAUUUUUUCUAUUUAAUAUAUACAUAUAAAUAUAUAUAUAUAUACAUUUGAAAGAAACAAAAAGGAAAACGGUGAAAAAAAAGGAAAAUUAUCUUGGAUCCCAUACUCGGGCUGUUUGUCGUCGUCAUGUUGUCUUUCGAAGCAAGUAGCAGUAAAUUUAUGUUCCGUUUUUGAUUGCAAGAUUUUCAAUACACAUUCAACAUUGGUUGCGUUCUAUGCACUUCGAGAUAAAUGUUUAGGUUACUCGUUCUUAUUUGCAUAAAUCGUCAAUUUUUUUCUUCUCUCUCUCUCUAGAAAACUUCCUGAUCCUCUGAUAUUUUCAUUGUGACAUUCGUCGUUUGAGGAAUAUAAGGAAGUUUCAAUUACUUUGUUUAUUAAAUGUUUAUUUCGCGAUUGUAGAAAAGGGACUCGGUAGGGAGGAUUUCCUGGGUCAGAGCCCACCGCCGGUGUGUAUGGCGGGAAAUAUCCUUUACUGAGAAGCAUUAAGAAUUUCCAAGCCAGAAGAUUUAUGGAGAAUAUCCUAUUUUGUUUUCAAGAUGGUUGGAUGUGUCUUAUUUAUACAUAUGAAUUUGUUUUGUACAAAAAAAAAAAUGUUUUCAUUUCCGAAAGAACAAUUAUUUUCAUUAAAUUGGAACGGGAAAGGAAUUUUCGUUAUCUCUUGUAUGAAGGUUGUACUUUUUAUUCCAAACUGUUAUUUAUGUAAUUUUUAUAUUCAAAACGCAGAAGAGACAAAAUAUAAAAGAAUUCAGAUGACGGAACAGUUUUAGUUAUGCAAAAUGGACAUUCAAUUGAUAGUAUGGGAAAAACAAAAAAAAAAAAAAGAAGUAACAAACUGUAUGAUGAAAUCGUAUCUGUAAGGGCUAUAUAUAAUAUAAAAAGUAACGUUUAAUAGAUUUUAAUUACAUUUUAAACACAGAAAAAUGAAUAUUUAGAAAAAAAGAAGGAUCUAAUUUAAGCGAAGUGCGAAAUUGAGGAGAAAAUAAAUAUGCGACUUGAUUUAAUUGCAUAAAACAAUA